GACAUAGGUGGCAAACGUUAUCCGGAAUUACUGGGCGUAAAGCGUGCGCAGGCGGUUGUGCAAGACAGAUGUGAAAUCCCCGGGCUCAACCUGGGAAUUGCAUUUGUGACUGCACGGCUAGAGUGUGUCAGAGGGGGGUAGAAUUCCACGUGUAGCAGUGAAAUGCGUAGAGAUGUGGAGGAAUACCGAUGGCGAAGGCAGCCCCCUGGGAUAACACUGACGCCUCAUGCACGAAAGCGUGGGGAGCAAACAGG
rnacentral:rRNA from 1 species